CCCGCCUCCCGUCGCGCCCCGCUUCCGUCUGGCGGUCCGGGUCAGUGUCCUGCGGCUGCCAGGUGCAUGAGGCCGGUGAGAGUCAUGAAGGUGUUCAUUACCCGCAGGAUCCCCCCCGAGGGCUGGGCCGCGCUCACCCGGGCCGCAGACUGUGAGGUGGAGCACUGGGAUUCCGAUGAGCCAAUCCCUGCCAAGGAGCUGGAGCGAGGUGUGGCGGGGGCCCACGGCCUGCUUUGCCUCCUCUCUGAUCGGGUGGACAAGAGGCUCCUGGAUGCUGCAGGAGCCAAUCUUAAAGUCAUCAGCACCAUGUCUGUGGGCGUUGACCACUUGGCUUUGGAGGAGAUCAAAAAGCGCGGCAUCCGUGUGGGCUACACCCCAGAUGUCCUGACAGACGCCACGGCAGAACUCGCCAUGUCCCUGUUGCUCACCACCUGUCGCCGCUUGCCAGAAGCCAUCGAGGAGGUGAAGAACGGUGGCUGGACCUCAUGGAAACCCCUGUGGAUGUGUGGCUAUGGACUCACGGGGAGCACCGUCGGCAUUAUCGGGCUGGGGCGCAUAGGCCAGGCCAUUGCUCAGCGUCUGAAGCCGUUUGGCGUCCAGAGAUUUCUGUACACAGGGCGCCAGCCCAGGCCUCAGGAAGCUGCAGAAUUCCAGGCAGAGUUUGUGUCCACCCCCAAGCUGGCCGCCGAGUCUGAUUUCAUCAUCGUGGCCUGCUCCUUAACACCUGCAACCAAGGGGCUCUGCAACAAGGACUUCUUCCAGCAGAUGAAGCACACGGCUGUGUUUGUCAACAUCAGCAGGGGAGACGUGGUGAACCAGGACGACCUGUACCAGGCCUUGGCUAGCGGGCAGAUUGCAGCUGCUGGACUGGAUGUGACGACCCCGGAACCACUGCCUACAGACCACCCUCUCCUGACCUUGAAGAACUGUGUGAUUCUGCCCCACAUUGGCAGCGCCACCUACGGAACCCGAAACACCAUGUCCUUGUUGGCAGCUAACAACUUGCUGGCCGGCCUGCGAGGGGAGCCGAUGCCCAGCGAACUCAAGCUGUAGCCAGACAGGAUAAGCUGAGGGUCAGGAGCCCACCGUGCCACUGCAGCCUGUCAGUGAGCACCGGCUUGAUUUGGACCCACAGGACGGGAGCCAAGGAAAAAAGUCUGAUCUGUUCUGAUCCCGCAGAAGGAAGACUGGUGCUGAUACACGGGCUUGCCACUUCUGUGGUUGGAAACGUCUGAGCCAAAACCCUGCCCCCCAGGUGGAUGCCCUUGUUCUGAUCACCACCUCCCAUUGCCAAAGCCCUGCUCCUGGCGAGGGAAUCAGGUUCCAGCUCUUCCCCGCGGCCAAGCCUGGCCAGCAGAUGGAGCUCUCACCCCGGCAGGCAGGUAAGGGAGCAGCAGAGAGCGCAGGAUCGAGCAGGCUAAGAGGGCUGGGUGUGCUGAGAACAAAACCUCACACAGGUCUUCGGCUCAGAGACAGAAAGAGUGCAGGGAGAGCAGAGGGACUGAACUGAGGGCAGUGACAAUAAUUGUGACUGAC